rnacentral:rRNA from 1 species
AACUAACGCUGGCGGCGUGCCUAACACAUGCAAGUCGUACGAGAAAGUCGGCUUCGGCUGAUGAGUAAAGUGGCGCACGGGUGAGUAACGCGUGGAUAAUCUGCCUUUUAGUUGGGAAUAACGUACCGAAAGGUGCGCUAAUACCGGAUAAUACUGAGCAACUACUGUUGCUUAGUCAAAGAAGGCCUCUGUUUACAAGCUUUUGCUGAAAGAUGAGUCCGCGUACCAUUAGCUAGUUGGUAGGGUAAUGGCCUACCAAGGCUACGAUGGUUAGCUGGUCUGAGAGGAUGAUCAGCCACACUGGAACUGAGACACGGUCCAGACUCCUACGGGAGGCAGCAGUGAGGAAUAUUGCGCAAUGGGGGCAACCCUGACGCAGCAACGCCGCGUGAGUGAGGAAGGUUUUCGGACCGUAAAGCUCUGUCGAGUGGGAAGAAAUGUAUCGUGGCUAAUAUCCAUGAUACUUGACGGUACCGCUAAAGGAAGCACCGG